UACGAAGGACCCGAGCGUUAUCCGGAUUUACUGGGUUUAAAGGGUGCGUAGGCGGAACGAUAAGUCAGUGGUGAAAGCCUGUUGCUUAACAACAGAACUGCCAUUGAUACUGUCGAUCUUGAGUACACAUGAUGUGGGCGGAAUGUGCCAUGUAGCGGUGAAAUGCUUAGAUAUGGCACAGAACACCGAUUGCGAAGGCAGCUCACAAAACUGUUACUGACGCUGAGGCACGAAAGCGUGGGGAUCAAAC
rnacentral:rRNA from 1 species